rnacentral:rRNA from 1 species
GAUGAACGCUAGCUACAGGCUUAACACAUGCAGGUCGAGGGGAAACGACAUCGAAAGCUUGCUUUUGAUGGGCGUCGACCGGCGCACGGGUGAGUAACGCGUAUCCAACCUGCCCACCACUUGGGGAUAACCUUGCGAAAGUAAGACUAAUACCCAAUGACGUCUCUAGAAGACAUCUGAGAGAGAUUAAAGAUUUAUCGGUGAUGGAUGGGGAUGCGUCUGAUUAGCUUGUUGGCGGGGUAACGGCCCACCAAGGCGACGAUCAGUAGGGGUUCUGAGAGGAAGGUCCCCCACAUUGGAACUGAGACACGGUCCAAACUCCUACGGGAGGCAGCAGUGAGGAAUAUUGGUCAAUGGGCGAGAGCCUGAACCAGCCAAGUAGCGUGCAGGAUGACGGCCCUAUGGGUUGUAAACUGCUUUUAUAAGGGAAUAAAGUGAGUCUCGUGAGACUUUUUGCAUGUACCUUAUGAAUAAGGACCGGCUAAUUCCGUGCCAGCCGCCGCGGUAA